AUUUGAAAAAAAAAUUAGAAACUGCGCAACCACAGGAAAACCGCCUGGCAAAGAUUCAAAGUGUAGGCAAAAACCUGCAGAGAGUGAACAGAGUCCUCAUGGGCCCAAGGAGCAUCCAGGAAAGGCACUUCAAAAAGGUGGGAAAGCACAGCACUAGGAAAGAACAGGAUGCCCAGGCAUUUGUGGACAAUGCUGCCAAAGGAAAAAGGCUUGAGGGUCCAGCCCCAAGGGAGCUGGAACAGCCUCACAUAGUGCAGGGGCCUGAGAAGGUAGUGGGAAACACCAUCUACACCAAGCCUUCAUUCACCCAAGAGCAUAAGGCAGCAGUCUCCUCUGUGCUGAAACCCUUCUCCAUGGGCGUGCCUUCUGCCUCUAGCCCUGCAAAAGCCCUACCUCAGGUCAGAGACAGAUCGAAAGACUUAGCCUACACCAUUUUAAUUUUAGAAAUGGCAAUGGCUAGAGUGAAAAACAUGAAGGCUGCUAAACCAAUCACACAUUCCAGAAAAAAAUAGCGCUUUUAUAAAACUCACUCCAUUGUGGCCCACAGAACACCCAAGGCCAAAAAGAUUAGAAAGUUUAGAAAGGGCAGUUAUCUCAACAGACCGAUGCUCGCAAAGAGGCCGCUGUUCUCUGCAGCAAAGAGCCUCAUACAUUCGCAAGGGAUUUUUUCAUCCUUAGGAGACCUGAGUCCUCAAGAAAACCCUCUUCUGGAAGUAGUUGCUCCUUCAGAACGUUUUACAGAAAACACUAAUGUAAAAGACACAACUAAUGUAAAAGACACAAAAGAGAUGUGUUCAAAGACACAUCUCUGAAAACACAAACUACAAUCAUCCUCCUGAGGCAGUUUCCGCUGGGACUGCAUUCAACUUAGAACCAACUGUUAAACAAACUGAGACAAAAUGGGAAUACAACAAUGUGGGCAUUGACUUGUCCCCUGAGCCCAAAAGCUUCAAUUACCCAUUGCUCUCGUCCCCAGGUGAUCAGCUUGAAAUUCAGCUAACCGAGCAGCUACGGUCCCUCAUCCCCAACGAGGAUGUGAGAAAGUUCAUGUCUCAUGUUAUCUGGACCUUGAAAAUGGAAUGUUCAGAAACACAUGUGCAAGGGAGCUGUGCCAAGCUCAUGUCGCGAACAGGCCUCCUGAUGAAGCUUCUCAGCGAGCAGCAGGAAGCAAAGGCAUUGAAUGUAGAAUGGGAUACGGACCAACAAAAAACAAAUUAUAUUAAUGAGAACAUGGAACAGAAUGAACAGAAAGAGCAGAAGUCAAGUGAGCUCAUGAAAGAAGUUCCAGGAUAUGACUAUAAGAACAAACUCAUCUUCGCAAUAUCUGUGACUGUCAUACUAAUAAUUUUGAUUAUAAUUUUUUGUUUUAUAGAGGUAAAGACAAUAAUUAAUUCAGGUUUUCAAAAUACAAUCCUGUGUUUGUGUGGAUUCAGAAUCCACAAACUGAAAACCAACGUCACUUUCCCACUUGACAUUCUUCUUCUGUCAUUUAAGGCUGAGGUGUGCUUUGUUCUUUUACUGCAAUGUAUAUUCCAGGAUUGUUAAAGGAUCCUCGCUUCCAGGAGGUCUCUGUGAAAUAAAACCAAGUUAAUCCCACUAGACUAUUUUAAGAAGUUAAGUUGAUAUAAUAGCAAAAUUUCUCCCACCCAAAACUAUGUCAACAAUUGGAUGUACUCACUGAGUCACCCCUUACUCUGCCACUAAUUUAUUUCCUUGUUGCUUAAAUGAUGAGAGACAUAUAAUCUCCACCCUCACGGAGUUGUCAUCACCCUGGAGAGGAAGAAGACAGCCAAAAGAGAGAAGUAUUGUCUUGUAGACUUACUAGAUUCACAUAGUAUCAUCCUUCUCCAGUGUGUAAGGUGUUGUCUAAAUAGGUCCAGUUAAAGAACUACAGGGUAGCCAUUUUUAAAAAAAAAUUUUGGCCACGUUUUCAAAUUCACAGGGGAGGGGGAAUGUCUCAUACUCCAGCCCUCCUGAGCCUAGGCCCUCUGUGAGAUGUGUCACCAUUUCUUGGACACCAUAUGAGACAUUCCCCCUCGGAUUAGAGAUGCUCAACCUGCAUCAACAAAUCUAAAGCCUGCAUCUGGCUACCCUGGGGCGAGUCCUGUUUACAGUGCCUAUUCCUGGAGCUCGCCUCUUUUUGCCUUUUGUUUGAUUAUGUGAUGUAUUACUUUUCCCAGCAGGCCAGUGCUAGCAUACUGGAAGAGGGAUUUAAUAAGCUGGCACCCUUGAUGCUAUGCUCCUAAUCCAACCUUAUUUGCCUCAUUGGCCAUUUCCAUUAUGGUGGCAGCCCUCCAUUCCAGCCACAGCAGCCCCUCAGCGUCCCCCAGUCACACUGUCCCCAUUGCUGCUCAUCUGUGCCUUUGUCCAUCUACAAUGCCCUUAUUUCACUCUGCCUGUGGGAGUCCUGUGAAUCUCUCCAAAGCCAACUCAGUUCAUCUUUCUGCUUGAAACCUUCCCUGAAUAGGCCAGGUGCGGUGGCUCACGCCUGUAAUCCCAGCACUUUGGGAGGCCAAGGCAGGCGGAUCACAAGGUCAGGAGAUCGAGACCAUCCUGGCUAACACAGACCAUUCUCUACUAAAAAUGCAAAAAAUUAGCUGGGUGUGGUGGCGGGCGUGUGUCGUCCCAGCUACUUGUGAGGCUGAAGCAGGAAAAUGGCAUGAACCUGGGAGGUGGAGCAUGCAGCCAGCCAAGAUCGGGCCGCUGCACUCCAGCCUGGGGGACAGAGCGAGACUCUGCCUCAAAAAAAAAAAAAAAAAGAAACUUCCCUGAAUAUUCCAGCCCUCCUGAGCCUAGUCCCUUUGUGAGAUUUGUCCCCAUUUCUUGGACACCAUAUAAGAGACUUCAGAGGCUGAAGUGGGAGGAUUGCUUGAGCCUGGGAGGUCGAGGAUGCAGUGAGCUGUGGUCAUACCACUGCACUCUAGCCUGGGCAACAGAGCGAGACCUUGUCUCAAAAACAGCCACCACCAAAAACUAUCUUGGGAUUUGAAUAGGAUUACCUUAAAUUUGUAGAUUAAUUUGAGAAUUGACAUCUGUACGACAUUCUAGAACAUGGUAUUUCAUGUCAUGUAUUCAUUUCUUGUUAAUGUCUUUCAGAAGAGUUUUAGGGUUUCCAUCAUAUAGAUCUUACACGUCUUUUGUUAGAUAACAGAUCUUUGUAUUUUUGUUCCUAAAUACUUCAGACAUUUGUAUUGCCAUUGUAAAUGGGAUCUUUCUUCCAUUUUCUAGUUAGUUAUUGGUGGUACAUCUGAAAAGCAUUUGAGGUUUGUGUGCUGCUCUCUUGAUUUUGUUUCUAGCCACCGUACUGAAUUCUCAUAUUACUUCCAGUAAAAUCUUAGUUGAUUCUCUUAGGCUUCUUUGGCUAACAUUUAUUAUUUUAUAUGCAAAUAAUUAUAGUUUUGUCUCUUCCUUUUCAAUACUUACACUCUUUCCUUCCUUUCCUUUCUUUUUUUUUUCUUUCUCAGGGCCUUGUUGUCACCCAGACUGGAGAGCAAUGGUGUGAUCUAGCUCACUGUAACCUCAAACUCCUGGGCUUAAGGGAUCCUCCUGCCUCAGCUUCCUGAGUGGCUGGGACUACAGGCAGGCAGUGAAUUUUAAAACUUUUGGUGUAGAGACAAGAUCUUGCUAUGUUGCCCAGGCUGGUUUUCCUGCCACUUUAGAGCAGGUUUCCUUUUUUUCAUACUUUUAAGAGGUUUUUAUUAGGAAUUGUCCAUUGAAUGUUAGCUAAAACAGUCAAUAAAAUGCGUUAAGUACCAGCUACAUGCAAGACCCUAAGUUAGAUACAGUCAGCCCUCUUCAUCAGCAGGUCCACAUCUUCAGAUUCAACUAGAUAAGGCUGAAUAUUUGAAGAAAAAAACAAUAAAAAUACAAUUAGAAAGUACAGUAUAACAACUGUUGCCAUGAUACAAUAUCUAUACAUUUUAUUAGUGAUGACCUAAAGUUCAUGGGACCAGGCACGGUGACUCACACUUGUAAUCCCAACACUUUGGGAGGCCAACCUGGGCAGCAUAGUGAGACCUUGUCUUUAAUAAAAAUAAAAAUAAAAAAAUUAGCUAGUGUGGUGGUAUGCACCUGUAGUCCCAGCUACUCAAGAGGCUGAGGUGGGCAGAUCACUGGAGCCCAGGAGGUUGCGGCUGCUGUGAGCUGUGAUUGUGACACUGCUCUCCAGCCUGAGUGACAGAGGGUGAUCCUGUCUCUAAGUAAGUAAAUAAAUAAAGUAUAUGGGGGGGAUGUGUGUUGGUUAUAUGCAAACACUGCACCAUUAUACGUAAGGGAUUGAGCAUCCACAGAUUCUGGUAUGGUGUGGAGGCGAUAUCCUAGAACCAGUCGUCUGCAAGGUAGCAAGGAUGACUGAACUGUGGAAGAAUCAAAGCACUGUUAAACAGCAUACAAUUCCUGUCUUCAAAAAAGUUAUCUCAUCGGGUAGAUGAGACUUAAAAUGAAUAAAAGGAAUGAAUACACAUUGGAGAUAGUGGUUGUUGUGAUAGAUAACCUUAAUUGUGUUUUCUUCCAAAACGGGUGAAUUCACAUAAAAGGGCAUCAGAAAAAUACAAAGACAACCCAUCAAUAUCAGGAGCCUGAGCAUGAGUUAAAGCAUGUGGAUGGCCUAGAGCCAUGUUUUUAAAAUUGUUAUUAAAUAUUGGUUUUUUACUUAAAUCAAUGAAAACUUUCUUUACUUUGUGGUUGUGUUCCUCAAAAUGAGAAUUUUUAACAAUAAUAAAAAUAAAGCUUAUUAGAUCA
rnacentral:lncRNA from 1 species